AACAUCUAGUACCGUGGAGGGAAAGUUGAAAAGCACUUUGAAGAGAGAGUUAAAGAGGACGUGAAACCGGUAGGAUGGAAACGGAUAGAGCUAGCGAACUCGUCUCGCAUUCAGCCUAAGGCCCGUUGCGGCCGGUCGUUGGGUUGCUAAUCGCGCUCAGCGGACGGUUCGGCUGCGGGCUGCGGUGCAUUUGCGGGCGUAUGCGCUGAGACUUGUGGGCCAGCUGCUGGACCCGUGUUCUAGAGGCCGCCCUUGUGGCGGAACCUGGUCGCGGUAACGGUUGUUUGGCCUGCUCGUAGCUUUGGUGCGAAGGACCUUGACUACGCUGCUUUUUCCUUGUGGUGGUAUCGCAUGCGAUGCCCUGCUUGGGGUCUGUGGUUUGGUUCGGUGUUCCCGUGCCGUCUCUCGGUGUAGAAGCUGGUCAUCUCUCCGACCCGUCUUGAAACACGGACCAAGGAGUUUAGCGUAUGCGCGAGUCAUUGGGUGCAAAACCCAUAGGCGCAAUGAAAGUGAAGGCUCGGUCGCCGGGCUUACAUGUGAGUGCUGGGUCUUCGGGCCCGGUACGCAGCAUGGUCCCGUUCCGGUCGCUUGCGACGGAGCGGAGACAGAGCGUAUGCGCUGAGACCCGAAAGAUGGUGAACUAUUCCUGAGCAGGACGAAGCCAGAGGAAACUCUGGUGGAAGUCCGAAGCGAUUCUGACGUGCAAAUCGAUCGUCUGACUUGGGUAUAGGGGCGAAAGACUAAUCGAACCUCUCUAGUAGCACGA
rnacentral:rRNA from 1 species